AUUGAACGCUGGCGGCAGGCUUAACACAUGCAAGUCGAACGGUAACAUAAAGAAGCUUGCUUCUUUGAUGACGAGUGGCGGACGGGUGAGUAAUGCUUGGGAAUCUAGCUUAUGGAGGGGGAUAACUACGGGAAACUGUAGCUAAUACCGCGUAAUAUCGAAAGAUUAAAGUGUGGGACCUUCGGGCCACAUGCCAUAGGAUGAGCCCAAGUGGGAUUAGGUAGUUGGUGAGGUAAAGGCUCACCAAGCCGACGAUCUCUAGCUGGUCUGAGAGGAUGACCAGCCACACUGGGACUGAGACACGGCCCAGACUCCUACGGGAGGCAGCAGUGGGGAAUAUUGCGCAAUGGGGGCAACCCUGACGCAGCCAUGCCGCGUGAAUGAAGAAGGCCUUCGGGUUGUAAAGUUCUUUCGGUAGCGAGGAAUGCUUUUAGUUUUAUAGACUAGGUGAUUGACGUUAACUACAGAAGAAUCAUCGGCUAACUCCGUGCCAUCAGCCGCGGUAAUACGGAUGGUGCUAGCGUUAAUCGGAAUAACUGGGCGUAAAAGGGGACGCUUGCGGUGACUUAAGUGAUGUGUGAAUGCCCCGGGCUGUACUCUGGCAAUUGCUUUUCUUACGGGGUCGCUUGAGUCUUUUGUGAGGGAUAGAUUUCCACUUUUGUGCGUGAAGUGGUGAGAUUGAUGGUAACCUAAACGAAGUCUUCGCUGUGUUGUGUCUGAUUGUUUGUGUGCUAGUACGUGGGAUGUUGCUGAUGAAUACAUAGGUUGUCUGGUGGGAUUUGUGUGUGUGGGGGGUUGUGUGUGUGCUUGUUGUGUGGGGAAAGAGUGAUGUGUAGUUGUGUUAUAUUUCUCUGCUUAUUAAAUGUUUAUUAAUGAUGUUCAUGUUAGGUGUGUAUGAUGUAUGUAUUGCCUG
rnacentral:rRNA from 1 species